rnacentral:rRNA from 1 species
AUUGAACGCUGGCGGCAUGCCUUACACAUGCAAGUCGAACGGCAGCGGGGACUUCGGUCCGCCGGCGAGUGGCGAACGGGUGAGUAAUGUAUCGGAACGUACCUUUCAGUGGGGGAUAACGUAGCGAAAGUUACGCUAAUACCGCAUAUUCUGUGAGCAGGAAAGCAGGGGAUCGCAAGACCUUGCGCUGAUUGAGCGGCCGAUAGCGGAUUAGCUAGUUGGUGAGGUAGAGGCUCACCAAGGCGACGAUCUGUAGCGGGUCUGAGAGGAUGAUCCGCCAAACUGGAACGGAGACACGGUCCAGACUCCUACGGCAGGCAGCAGUGGGGAAUUUUGGACAAUGGGGGCAACCCUGAUCCAGCCAUGCCGCGUGAGUGAAGAAGGCCUUCGGGUUGUAAAGCUCUUUCGGCCGGGAAGAAAUCGCAUGGGUUAAUACCCUGUGCGGAUGACGGUACCGGCAUAAGAAGCACCGGCUAACUACGUGCCAGCAGCCGCGGUAAUAC